UACGUAGGGGGCUAGCGUUGUUCGGAAUUACUGGGCGUAAAGGGCGCGUAGGCGGCGUGUCAAGUCAGGCGUGAAAGCCCCGGGCUCAACCUGGGAACCGCGCUUGAGACUGGCAUGCUCGAGUUCGGGAGAGGAUGGUGGAAUUCCCAGUGUAGAGGUGAAAUUCGUAGAUAUUGGGAAGAACACCGAUGGCGAAGGCAGCCAUCUGGACCGACACUGACGCUGAGGCGCGAAAGCGUGGGGAGCAAACAGG
rnacentral:rRNA from 1 species